rnacentral:misc_RNA from 1 species
AUAUAAAUUAAAAAGGAAAAGAAAGAAAUGUUCAAGCUAAUCAUGAAAGGUUCGUCAAAGACGAAUAAACAUGAAAAUGACUUCACCUACGCAGUGCAAGUGACUCGCGUUAUCCUGCGAAUGAUCGGCGCGUGGCCACUUUCCAAUUAUGUUUCCAACGUGGAAAGAAUCGCGACCCGCCUACAAAACAUUUGUUGCUACUUUUUAUUCGCGUUUACGAUCAUACCGGGUUUCCUGCUGAUGUUUCUAAAGGAACGCGACUCCAAACGAAAAGUGAAAUUACUCGCGCCACUUCUCAAUUCUUGGGCGAGUUGCGUGAAGUACAGCCUGCUCGUGUAUCACGCGAGAGAGAUUCAAUCUUGCCUGAAGCAGGUGCGACAGGAUUGGAUGAAUACAGUCGAUCUGAACAGUCGAGAAGCAAUGUUAUCUAAUGCAAAAGUAGGCCGCCAGUUCGCGAUCGUUUCUGCCAUUUUCAUGUACAUCAGCGGAUUGUUUUUCCGCGUCAUCGUGCCACUCUCGAAAGGACGAAUGCUCACGCCGAUGAACACCACGGUGAGAGCGUUGCCAUGCCCGAGUUACUUUGUUAAAUUCAAUGAACAGGCCUCACCGGCGUACGAGAUCGUCUUCAUCCUGCAAUUCUUCGCAGGACUAAUCACCUACUCGGUAACGGUCGGCGUUGCCGGACUGGCUGCAUUUUUCGUUAUGCACGUUUGCGGACAAUUAAGCGUUUUAAUUGGCAAGCUCCAAUGUAUCAAUAAUAUGCUGGAACCCGAGGAUCGAACUAUCACGAUAUUGCUGGCUGAUAUCGUAGAGCAUCAUAUAAGAGUGAAAGGCAAAAAUCUCUGCAGGAAAGUUGAUAGACAUGUCUCUACUAACGUUCAGUAAUUGUUUAUCAGAUUUUAUAGAACACUCCAUCACUGCCGGUACCUGCAGUUUUAUAGCCACCUUAUUCGCGAUGGCCGCCUCCAAGUCUCAAUACAAAUCGAAUACUUAGUAUAUGGUGGGGAAGAUUUCUACAUAGAUGAUAACAUAGAUGAAAGGCUGGCGAUGAUCGUGCAACAGCACGUUCGAAUCUUACGUUUUAUAUCACUAACGGACAAAGUACUGCGUGAAAUAUCUGUAGUGGAAAUUGUAGGAUGUACGUUAAACAUGUGUUUUCUUGGAUAUUGUACUCUUACGGUAUGCAUAUCGUACAAAAAGUACGUACAAUGCAAAGUGCAUCGCUAUAUCGAAGCAAUAUCGGAAAUCGCCGUAUACAAAUUACAACACACGUAUAAUGUUUUCGAAUACAGGAUUAUUUACGUUUCAGGAAUGGGAGAGUAAAGAGACUAAAAGUUAUGUAACAUGUGUUGUUCUAUUUAUAUCUCUUACGUUCAAUAUUUUUAUUAUAUCGGCAAUUAUAUUUUUGUUAUAUCAACGAAAAGUAAAAUUUUCAUAAUCAAAACAUCCACUUGCAUCUGCACAAAAAGAUAUUUUAUUGCUAAGUAGUUGUUCAAUUUUUUUCUUUUUUUAAGUAAGUUAUCUUUAAUAAAGAAUAUUUUCUUGGUAAUAAUAAUAAAAUAUAUACUCAUUAAAUUUUUAAAAGAUUUGUACUCAACCAAGUACUUAAACAAGAUUUAUAUCCUUUUGAAGAACAUUAGAAAAUUCAAAAAAAAAAAAAUAAAA